UACGGGGGGAGCAAGCGUUGUUCGGAUUUACUGGGCGUAAAGGGCGCGUAGGCGGCGUGGCAAGUCACUUGUGAAAUCUCCGGGCUUAACUCGGAACGGUCAAGUGAUACUGCUGUGCUAGAGUGCGGAAGGGGCAACUGGAAUUCUUGGUGUAGCGGUGAAAUGCGUAGAUAUCAAGAGGAACACCUGCGGCGAAGGCGGGUUGCUGGGCCGACACUGACGCUGAGGCGCGAAAGCUAGGGGAGCGAACAGG
rnacentral:rRNA from 1 species